ensembl:lncRNA
GGCUGUAGCCCCCCUGCCUACCACUUGCCCAUCUCGAUCAGUUCUAGAGGCUUCACUGGCAACUCCAGCCAGACACAGCCUCUUCCUCGCCAGGACCCUCCGGUGGUCUCAGGGCUGAGCUCCAGGCGCCCUGGUUGUGGUGAUCUGUGUGUGCCAACUGUAGGCUCCCUGAAGCAAAGCACCUGGUCGGAUUCAUCCUUCUUGUUGCAGUAGCAUCUACAAUGGGACAGAUCGCAAACAAAGGCGCGCACAGACCCCUUCGUUUACAUCUGCUAGAACGGAGCCUGGGUGUGGCGAAGGCCAUCUACCUGGAGGGCCUGACAGGUUGCUACGCAGUACCGAGAAGAGCUCUCUGCGCUGCGGCGGUGAUUGGGUGGCCUCGGCCUGCGGUGGCGUGGAGCGAGGUUUGGGGUCCCAGCCAGAGAUGGAGGCUGGUGGCUGUGGUGAAGGCACCAGUUCCUAGACCAGUGGUCAGUGACGAGGGCCCUGGACAUUCGGCUUUGCAGAGAGGAAUCUCUACAAAGACGGAAAGCAGAGAAGCAAGUCAAGUAUUUAUUAGGAGGGAAGAGAGUACAUUCUGUGUGGACAGAUGCAGGGGAGCUUCCGCGAGUCACGCCCUCGUGGUGGUUUGAGUCCCUUUCAGGGGGCACUUCUUCCAGGUUUUGGCCAGUCAUCUUGGUUUGCCCGGUUCACAGUUCACGUUUGGUAUAUCUCAGGAUCCUCCCACCUGUGCGCAGGCAUCUCUUGGCCAAGAUGGAUUUUACUGAACAGUGUAUGGGUAGAGAACAUCCCUUGACUGACCCCUUGGCCUCCGAGGAGCUUCUCUGCGCAUGUGUGGUGGGCCAGGUCUCCUGACCUGGAGAAGGAGAAAUAUGUGGUCUCGGCAGGCCCCCUCCCUUCCCUGUCCUGCUAUUCUUAUCUCGGCAUUUCAGACCACAGGGAGUGAAGCUCCAACUGCUUUACCCCGGGGGCCCAUCUUCCUCCUGCAUCAGCAGGGCCUUGCUGGUUAUCCAUUUUAAAUCCAGCCGUGUGUCCCUGUCCAUCCCAAACUCCUAACUACCUCUUCCUCUCAUCCUUCCUCCACUAACCAUAAGUUAGUUCUCUAAGUCUGUGAAUCUGUUUCUGUAAAAACUGGAAUAUUGUUGAGUGAAAUCUCCUGUUUCAAAUGCUGGCUCAGUUAAAAAAAAAAACACUGUAUGGGUCAAAAAAGAACCCCAAACAAAGCAUAUCUUGCAUCCGGUCACUGGGCGGCCAGUUUUCAGUCCAGUAUAAGGAUGUGUUCCUUCGUCCACUGGGGACAGUAUUUUCAAGAGCUUAUUAGGAUUUUCCUUCCUGACCUAGAGUCUCUGAUUGUCCCCAUUGGGACCCUAGGUUUCCUUAUUUUGUGGGUCCAACUAGAUAGGGCCAGUCUCAAGCCAGAAGGAAAAAAAAAACCACAACAGAAACACAGGUAGGAAAUACUCACUAUCAAGGAGUAUAAUGGGGAGCCGAGGGGGAAAGGGAUGGUGAGAAAUGGAAGGAGAAAGACCUCUGAACCAGAGGCGGCCCAUUCAGCACCAAGGUUGGGGGCCUGCCCGCUGCCCAUCCACCCAGGUUAAGUGACACUCUCCCAAGCCUUGAGACCCUGUCCAA